rnacentral:rRNA from 1 species
UGGCGCUGAAGCGGGUGGCCGACACCACACCGUGUGAAUAAGUAUUUUUGGGUGGAUGAUUACAUGAGGAGGAGGGCGUGGUGGCCGUGGAGAAGCAUGGUGGCAAGCCCGUGUGGUGCGGUCCGCUAGUGCUGAUCUUGGUGGUAGUAGCAAGUAUUCUUGCGAGAAGCUUGAAGGGCGAAGCGGGGAAGGGUUCCUCGCGAACAUUGAUUGGGGGUGGGUGAGUCGUUCCUAAUCCGAGUGGCAAUUGCUAAGUAUAUGUGCGAAAGGGAAGCGGGUUGACAUUCCCGCACACGGAUGUGGAGCGCGGCGACGCGUAAUGGGGCGAACACGCUGGCGAUGGCGCUGGGCAGAGUUGUCUUUUCUGUUUGACCGAGUGUGCGAGCUGUGUGGAAUCCGCUUGUCGGGAGAAACACGCUUGCACGGGCAGAGCGCCGGGGCUUUUCCGGCGUCCAGCUCGCCAUCGACGGCCCUUGAAACUUUGCCUGCUGAAUAAUAUUUUUUGAAGAUCCACGCCGUGGCGUACCGAUCACCGCAUCAGGUCCCCGAGGUGAACAGCCUCUGCUCGAUAUGAACAAUGCAGGUAAGGGAAGUCGGCAAAUUGGACCCGUAACUUUGGGAAAAGGGUUGGCUCUAGUGCUGCGUGGGAGAGGUUGUCCGUGUGUGGGGGCGGAGGGAGGGCUGGCUCUGGCGCGGGAUCUCCGGGAAACUGGGGAAUCUGUUCUGGGCUGCUUUCUCACUGCCUUCCACCUCAGACGACGCCCACGGCAUGCAGCAGACUAGAACUGCAACGGGCAAAGGGAAUC